rnacentral:rRNA from 1 species
GAUGAACGCUGGCGGCGUGCUUAACACAUGCAAGUCGAACGGGGUUUAAGAAGGAAGCUUGCUUUCAUUUUAAACCUAGUGGCGGACGGGUGAGUAACGCGUGAGGAACCUGCCCUUUAGUGGGGAACAACAACUAGAAAUGGUUGCUAAUACCGCAUAAUGUCGGAGAGCCGCAUGACUUUCCGACCAAAGGAUUUAUUCGCUGAAGGAUGGCCUCGCGUCCGAUUAGAUAGUUGGUGAGGUAACGGCCCACCAAGUCUACGAUCGGUAGCCGAACUGAGAGGUUGAUCGGCCACAUUGGGACUGAGACACGGCCCAGACUCCUACGGGAGGCAGCAGUGGGGAAUAUUGGGCAAUGGGCGAAAGCCUGACCCAGCAACGCCGCGUGAAGGAUGACGGUCUUCGGAUUGUAAACUUCUUUAAUUGGGGAAGAACAAAAUGACUA